GCAGGCCUAACACAUGCAAGUCGAGCGGUAGCACAGAGAGCUUGCUCUCGGGUGACGAGCGGCGGACGGGUGAGUAAUGUCUGGGAAACUGCCUGAUGGAGGGGGAUAACUACUGGAAACGGUAGCUAAUACCGCAUAAUGUCGCAAGACCAAAGUGGGGGACCUUCGGGCCUCAUGCCAUCAGAUGUGCCCAGAUGGGAUUAGCUAGUAGGUGGGG
rnacentral:rRNA from 1 species